rnacentral:pre_miRNA from 1 species
GUUUCAAUUACAGGGCAAAAUCUCCACUGGCAGGCAGCCACUUUGAAUACUAUUUAAUGUGAUCAUAGUGAGCCCUCUGCCAAUGGAGAUUUGCCCGGCAAUUCCACU